AAAAUCAUUCUCUUUCUCUCUCAAAGUUUUCUCUGUUUCCUUCUUCUUCUACAAUUUCUCUGUUCUCUUUUCUACAUAAUGCUUAACAAAGUUUGCAUGUCUUUGUGAACUUCAAUUGCAGGUGAAGUAUCGAACAGCCUUGAUGAAGUUGAUGGGGUCAUAGACCACAGAAUCAUUUCCAAGUUCACGUUAAGUUUCAAAGAUCCUAUACCCACCCUUCAAAAAAUCGUUCUUAUGGCUUUCCAUGCACGACAGUAAUUGCUUCCGAAAGUGUACCGUCUGUUGUUGAUAAUCGGCCAAAGAAUGCUGUGAAGGAGCCUUAACAGCUAGAGCCUGCAUCACAAACUUACAUCGUGGUUCGGUUUUGCUUCUGCAAUUAAGCCUGCAUCGUAUACAAACCACACCAUUUUAGUGUAACGUGGCGUUGCAUAUUGCUUCGUACGCAUAUCACUUGUAUCCAUUCUACGUACAUAUAUUGUGCUUGUAUAUGUUGAAAUUUAAUAAUAAUAUAAUAAUAUUAAAUUUAUU